rnacentral:rRNA from 1 species
UACAGAGGUCUCAAGCGUUGUUCGGAUUCAUUGGGCGUAAAGGGUGCGUAGGUGGCGCUGUAAGUCAGGUGUGAAAUUUCGGAGCUUAACUCCGAAACUGCAUUUGAUACUGCGGUGCUUGAGGACUGGAGAGGAGACUGGAAUUCACGGUGUAGCAGUGAAAUGCGUAGAGAUCGUGAGGAAGACCAGUGGCGAAGGCGGGUCUCUGGACAGUUCCUGACGCUGAGGCACGAAGGUCAGGGGAGCAAACGGG